rnacentral:rRNA from 1 species
GUACGGGAGGCAGCGGUGAGGAAUCUUGCACAAUGGGCGAAAGCCUGAUGCGGCAACGCCGCGUGGGGGAUGAAGCUUCUCGGAGUGUAAACCCCUUUCGACCCGGACGAAUGCCCGCAAGGGUUUGACGGUACGGGUAUAAGAAGCCCCGGCUAACUACGUGCCAGCAGCCGCGGUAAGACGUAGGGGGCCAGCGUUGCUCGGAAUUACUGGGCGUAAAGGGUCCGUAGGCGGUGCGGUAAGUCGGGAGUGAAAUCUCUGGGCUUAACUCAGAGGCUGCUUCCGAAACUACCGUGCUAGAGUGCGAGAGAGGCAAGUGGAAUUGCGGGUGUAGCGGUGAAAUGCGUAGAUAUCCGCAGGAACAUCCGAGGCGAAAGCGGCUUGCUGGAUCGCAACUGACGCUGAGGGACGAAAGCUAGGGGAGCAAACAGGAUUAGAUACCCGUGUAU